rnacentral:rRNA from 1 species
CAUUCCGAGUUGAUUCGGGCUCCGGCCCNAUCCUCCCACCCUUUGUGUACCUACCUCUGUUGCUUUGGCGGGCCGCGGUCCCCCGCGGCCGCCCCCCCUCCCCGGGGGGUGGCUAGUGCCCGCCAGAGGACCAUCAAACUCCAGUCAGUGAACGUCGCAGUCUGAAAAAACAUUCAAUAAACUAAAACUUUCAACAACGGAUCUCUUGGUUCUGGCAUCGAUGAAGAACGCAGCGAAAUGCGAUAAGUAAUGUGAAUUGCAGAAUUCAGUGAAUCAUCGAAUCUUUGAACGCACAUUGCGCCCCUUGGUAUUCCGAGGGGCAUGCCUGUUCGAGCGUCAUUACAACCCUCAAGCUCUGCUUGGUAUUGGGCACCGCCCUUCUUCGGGCGCGCCUCAAAGACCUCGGCGGUGGCUGUCUUGCCUCAAGCGUAGUAGAAUACACCUCGCUUCGGAGCGCAGGGCGUCGCCCGCCGGACGAACCUUCUGAACUUUUCUCAAGGUUGACCUCGGAU